UAGUAGUGGGGUAACGGCUCACCUAGGCGACGAUCCCUAGCUGGUCUGAGAGGAUGACCAGCCACACUGGAACUGAGACACGGUCCAGACUCCUACGGAGGCAGCAGUGGGGAAUAUUGCACAAUGGGCGCAAGCCUGAUGCAGCCAUGCCGCGUGUGUGAAGAAGGCCUUCGGGUUGUAAAGCACUUUCAGCGGGGAGGAAGGCGAUGAGGUUAAUAACCUCAUCGAUUGACGUUACCCUGCAGAAGAAGCACCGGCUAACUCCGUGCCAGCAGCCCGGUAAUACGGAGGGUGCAAGCGUUAAUCGGAAUUACUGGGCGUAAAGCGCACGCAGGCGGUCUGUCAAGUCGGAUGUGAAAUCCCCGGGCUCAACCUGGGAACUGCAUUCGAAACUGGCAGCUAGAGUCUUGUAGAGGGGGGUAGAAUUCCAGGUGUAGCGGUGAAAUGCGUAGAGAUCUGGAGGAAUACCGGUGGCGAAGGCGGCCCCCUGGACAAAGACUGACGCUCGGUGCGAAAGCGUGGGGAGCAAACAGGAUUAGAUACCCUGGUAGUCCACGCCGUAAACGAUGUCGAUUUGGAGGUUGUGCCCUUGAGGCGUGGCUCCGGAGCUAACGCGUUAAAUCGACCGCCUGGGGAGUACGGCGCAAGGUUAAAACUCAAAUGAAUUGACGGGGGCCCGCACAAGCGGUGGAGCAUGUGGUUUAAUUCGAUGCAACGCGAAGAACCUUACCGGUCUUGACAUCCACAGAACUUUCCAGAGAUGGAUUGGUGCCUUCGGGAACUGUGAGACAGGUGCUGCAUGGCUGUCGUCACUCGUGUUGUGAAAUGUUGGGUUAAGUCCCGCAACGAGCGCAACCCUUAUCCUUUGUUGCCAGCGGUUAGGCCGGAACUCAAAGGAGACUGCCAGUGAUAAACUGGAGGAAGGGGGGAUGACGUCAAGUCAUCAUGGCCCUUACGACCAGGGCUACACACGUGCUACAA
rnacentral:rRNA from 1 species